rnacentral:rRNA from 1 species
UUCAAUUUUUGAAGUUUCUCUAGCUUUUUUGUUGGGUGAAAUCAGUAUAAGGAGCUCUUUCUUCUUUAAAAAUUAGUAGGAACUAAAAAACUUUGAUUUAAAACCAGGAUUAGAUACCCUGUUAUUCUCAGUUAUUCUUAAACAGGGUAGUAAAAGUUGUUCUUCAAACCCAAAGAUUUUGGCGGCACUUUAUCCAAAUAGAGGAGCUUGUCCCUUAAUCGAUAGUCCUCGUUUUAUCUUUCCUUCAUUUGUAAAGCUUGUAUACCGCCGUUGUCAGAUUACUUUUAGAGAAUGUUUUCAAGUUAAAAGACUUUAUAACUUCAGGUCAAGGUGCAGUUUAUAUGGGGGUGGAGGUGAGCUACAGUUUCCUUUAGAAAAUACGGAUUCUAAGCUUUGAAGCUAGCUGAAGGUGGAUUUACUAGUAAAGUAA